CGUUGAACUUGGGGGGCCAAAAGCGGAGGAAAACGACCAUUAGAUGGUGAUCCUUCCGAGGUCAUUUUAAAUGAAUUCCUUGUUAAAUCAGCGCCUCAUCGUCGAUAAAUCAGGAGACUCUUCAUCAAUCCUAGUCAUCUGUAGGACGUAGAUAUUGGCAGAGUUAAAGCUAUCACCUAAGAUCCAUUCAUGCUAAAAACUGGUCUUUCGCUUAUUACUUAUCACAGCUCUUGACCAUUAGUGGAUAUGAGCACCACUUUUAGUAUUCAAGAGGACCCCUUUCCGUCGGGUUGGUCGGAAGUCAACGAAAAUUUAUCCAGACCAACAGCGCACUUCUCAACGGAUAUUUACUGCAAUCAUCAUGCUACCAAAAUCCACGAAUUAGCGGUCGAAUUGGAUUUCAACGAGGUCGAAAGGACACUAUGAUGUACUGUCUACUACUAUCGGAUGGGCUAUUUCUCCUGCAGUUGCCGCCAACUUUCCCAGACACCGUUUGCAGUUGCUUGCACCAGUAACGAAGAGUCGAAGGAGUCAGGAAAAUAGGCGAAAAAUGGUGUUUUGUUUACUUAAGGCUGUUUUCAACAUUAUUGAUAAAUCAAAAACUAACAUUUUGUAAAUUAUCAUGUUUCAAUUCGAAUUAAUCCUUUUUGUAAAUAAAUGUACAGUAAAUUUUCCACAUUGUUCGCUACGUAUCAAUUACUGCUUCAAAUGUACAUGAAACUAUCUAUUUUUUCAAUAAAGAUUAGUUAAACGAA